GAUGAAGAACGUAGCGAAAUGCGAUACGUAAUGUGAAUUGCAGAAUUCAGUGAAUCAUCGAAUCUUUGAACGCACAUUGCACUCUCUGGUAUUCCGGAGAGUAUGCUUGUUUGAGUAUCUGUAAACAUCUCAAAUCUCUCUUCAAUUGCUUCAAUUGGGUCGAGAGAAUUGGAUUUGAGCGAUCCCGACUCCUUCGUCAGAAAGAGGAGGGUCGCUUGAAAUGCAGGUGCAGCUGGACAUUCUCCUGAGCAAAAAGCAUAUCUAUUUAGUCCCGUCAAACGGUUUAUUACUUUUGCUUCAGCUAAUAUAAAGGUUGAAUGAACUACCAACGCUGAUUGCAGGAAAACAUGUUCUUUUAUUCGGACUUGUAAACUCGAUCUCAAAUCAAGUAAGACUACCCGCUGAACUUAAGCAUAUCAAUAAGCGGAGGA
rnacentral:misc_RNA from 1 species